rnacentral:rRNA from 1 species
UACGGAGGAUGCGAGCGUUAUCCGGAUUUAUUGGGUUUAAAGGGUGCGUAGGCGGACUGUCAAGUCAGCGGUAAAAUUGAGGGGCUCAACCCCUUCCCGCCAUUGAAACUGGCGAUCUUGAGUGGAAGAGAAGUAUGCGGAAUGCGUGGUGUAGCGGUGAAAUGCAUAGAUAUCACGCAGAACCCCGAUUGCGAAGGCAGCAUGCCGGCUUCCUACUGACGCUGAAGCACGAAAGCGUGGGGAGCAAACAGG